CUCUGCUUUGCCCUCCUCAGACUGGCUACUGUGCUUUACUCUAAGGCUUUGAGGUUCCCCCCCUGUCCCAGCUGAUCUCCCUACCAGCCGGGGGCUUCUAGGGUGCAGAUUCCUUUCCUCUUUAACAGCUCCUUCCCAGGAGUGCUGGUCCUGUCCUGUUUCCUCUCUUUUUUUCCUUUUGUCCUACCCAAUUAUGUGGAGAUUGUCUUGCCUUUUUGGAAGUCUGAGGUCUUCUGCCAGCCUUCAGUAGAUGUUCUGUGAGAAUCAUUCUAUAGGUAGAUGUGGGGGUUUGGGGUAUAUUUGUGGGAGAGGGUGAGCUCCACAUCCUGCUCCUUCAACCAUCUUGAUUCCACUCCCUCAAUAUAAUUCUUAGUAGUUCCAUAUAGUGUAUUGUGAGGAUGUUCCAUUCAUUGUUAAUUAUCCCUAAUUUCUUGGGUGUUUGGUUUCUUUCUCAGUUUGUCUUCCUUUCACUGACAAGUAAGACCAAUCAUCUUUUUUCUCGUAUGACUAUUUUUUUUUUUUUUUUUUUUUUGCAGAAGAUGGCACUGUUUCCUAGAAAAGUGAGUGAAGUUACCCUUGACCAAUUAAGGAAGGAGAAAAGACCCUUCCAGAUGAUGAAGCAAGUUACCCCUGGAGUGCGCCCUCUGCAGCCUCACCUGGUCUGUCCAGCCAUAUCUUCUUAUACUUUCUGCGAAAUAUUCUACCAUCUAACUGGAGAUGCUGAGUGAGGGCUGCCAAGAAGGUUUUCAAAUCAAUAUCUGAACUUCCACCUUGAGAAACCGGGAGAAGGACAAAUUAACUCAAGACAAUCAGAAUAAGGAAAAAUAAAGAUUAAAAAGCAAAGAUAAAUAAAACUGGU
rnacentral:lncRNA from 1 species